rnacentral:rRNA from 1 species
AUUGAACGCUGGCGGCAGGCUUAACACAUGCAAGUCGAGCGGGGGAAGGUAGCUUGCUACCGGACCUAGCGGCGGACGGGUGAGUAAUGCUUAGGAAUCUGCCUAUUAGUGGGGGACAACAUCUCGAAAGGGAUGCUAAUACCGCAUACGUCCUACGGGAGAAAGCAGGGGAUCUUCGGACCUUGCGCUAAUAGAUGAGCCUAAGUCGGAUUAGCUAGUUGGUGGGGUAAAGGCCUACCAAGGCGACGAUCUGUAGCGGGUCUGAGAGGAUGAUCCGCCACACUGGGACUGGGACACGGCCCAGACUCCUACGAGAGGUAGCAGUGGGGAAUAUUGGACAAUGGGGGGAACCCUGAUCCAGCCAUGCCGCGUGUGUGAAGAAGGCCUUAUGGUUGUAGAGCACUUUAAGCGAGGAGGAGGCUCUUUUGGUUAAUACCCAAGAUGAGUGGACGUUACUCGCAGAAUAAGCACCGGCUAACUCUGUGCCAGCCGCCGCCGUAA